rnacentral:rRNA from 1 species
GUCCACGCCGUAAACGAUGGGCAUUAGGUGUGGGAGGUGUCGACUCCUCCCGUGCCGUCGCUAACGCAUUAAAUGCCCCGCCUGGGGAGUACGGCCGCAAGGCUAAAACUCAAAGGAAUUGACGGGGGCCCGCACAAGCAGCGGAGCAUGUGGUUUAAUUCGACGCAACGCGAAGAACCUUACCUGGGUUUGACAUGUUGGUGACCGGUGUGGAAACACACUUUUCCUUCGGGACACCAUCACAGGUGGUGCAUGGCUGUCGU